AUUAAACAAGUGGCUGGCACAGUGCUUCUAACAGCUCCUGGAACAUAGUAAACACUGUACAGGAACUUGCUCUUAGCACACUACUCUGGCUAUGAUCACUAUCUGGAUCCAUGUGUUGGUAUUUGGAAGAUAAGUGGCUUGGCCGCUGUCGUCCCCACCAGGGCAAGAAGCCAAAGCUAAGCUGUGAGCAUCCGGCUACACUCCAAACGCCCAACAUGAGAUCAUUUCUUUGUGAGGCUGCCUGCUUCCCAACAGAAGAACCUCUUCAAGUAAGAAAACUCAAAGAGCCUCUUUACCUCUGGGAUGAAGGGAGGAAUGAAUCCACCAGGAAACAGGGCUGGAGAGGCGAAGACAAACAGAUUCCUGAAGCACAUUGGUCAUCCAGCUUAGCCUAAUCAACAAGUCCCGGGUCCCAGUGAGAGAAGAGACUGUCUCAGAAAACAAGGUGCUAGCAGCUGAGGAGGAAUACUUGAGGUUGACUUUUGGUGUUCAUAUGAACGCAUACAUGGCACUUAAACUGAAACAGAUGAACACAUGCACACACAUAACCACACAAAAGCACUACACACACACACACACACACACACACACACACACGUGCAUACCCCUACACAUAAGCACUAUAUAUACAUGACACAUACACUUAUGUUAUGUUGACUUCUCAUUCCAAUCAGAAUGCCCUCCCUCCCUCCAAGUCUUUUCCACUAAUAUUACCAUCUAAGCUCAUGCAUGAUGACAUCUGGUGUGGGCUUGCUCCCCUUGGCUUAUUGGUACUUUUUUUGUUCACCACCCUUCCCUCAUCGAACACUUUUCCUCUGAUGCAAGACUCUGCCUGCUCACAAGUCUCCAUCAGACA